CUCUGGCUCCUACUCUGCAUCUGCUGAACUGGCGCCCCAGCCAAGGGGGCAAAGAAGGGUGUCCAAGCGGUGACUUCGUGCAGUGAAACGCCUCCGUGCCCGCCCCACCACCAUCUCUCUGUCGGCUUCCGGCUAAGGCCGGGCUCUCGGGCCCCGCAGAUCCCUGUGUGUAGGAUUCUGUUGUCUGUGUCUGAGUGCAGACCUCCUGGCUGGGGGCCUGUCUGAAUUCUCCAGGUGGGAUCCCAAGUUGGCCCCCUCCCUCACAGUAGCACCUUAACUCCCUGACUCAGCACCCAGAUUCAGCAAGGGCACUACGGCGUGGUCUGAGACAUGCGGUGGACAUGGCUCAGUGACCAGUUAGGACCGCAGUCAGCCUUGGUCAGUUCUGCCUACGGGAAGACCUGUGCCAGACACCACUGCUCAUGGCCGGGCGUGUCCAUGUGUCACCUGAGUCUUGGCUUUGUCUCUUCCUCCCCAAGUCCUGCUGCUUAUACCUUGUCAGCCUUACAGAGAAGGGGUGGGUGCCCAUGGUGCUCUAGUAACGUGCUGUGGUCGGCACCAUGGGGCCUGGCCCUGACACAUCAUGGAAUAGCCUUGCCUUUAGGGGACCAUUUUAGUGUCCUUUAGCAUCAGGGCAAUAAGUGGUUAGAUUGUAGAGGAAGAAUUCUGAGACUUUUCCAUCAUCUGCCACAUUUCCUGUCACAUGUGCACCACAUAUAAAACCAGCCACGUUUUAAAAAUUCUUUGAUGGAGUCGUGGGGACAAGAAGAAACCGUAGAAAUACAGUGAGGUGGAAAGAGUGUUGGACUCGGAGUCUCAGGACAAGCUUCACCCUCUGCGAAGGCCAGUCCCUUUCUGCUGCUCCAUAGCCUGGAGACGCCACUCACCGUCACCGUCUUGAAGGGUGAACUGAGGAAGGGGUCAGAGUCAUCCUCACCUCUGUCCCCAGCCCUGGCCUGUGCCACCUCUGAUGGACUUGGUUUCAAGAAUAAGAAAGAAUGCCAUUGUAAUAAGCCAUCAAAGCAUGAUGCCUCUGGAGAUAUGAAUUAAAUAUUUUUCGAGCAAUUAGGCCCCGUGGAGAAUGGAAUGACCACUGCUGCUCCUAGAACAAUAUGAAGAGGGUCACAGAGGACAAGAACAGGAAGACAGGCCCGUGAUGCUGGCCUGUGCCCUCAGCUUCUAAGCUGGCCCUCCCGCCUUGCUGUGUGGGCGGCGUGGCUGGCAGAGACGGGCCACCCAGGAGUAGACUCCGUGUGCGCAUCUUCAGAACUGAUCUGACCUCCAGCUGUGUUUAAACACCAGUGAGCCAGAAGACCAACAGCCUUUGCCAGCUGAGUGUGAGCAUAUGUUGAUGCUCAAAAGUUUAGAAUUUCUGCAUUUGGUGUAAAGUCAGGAAUCAUCACUUUGAUGUUUUCUUUUUUUUUUGCUGCCUCUCAGGCCUCUCCUUUUCAGUUCCUCUUGCUCCCUUUCUUUCCUUCCCUUUUCUUUUUUAGCCUGCCUCACAUCCUCCUUUCUCAGACAUUGAAUUUUCUUGGGAUUCUCACUCAUACUAUUCUAUUC
ensembl:lncRNA